rnacentral:rRNA from 1 species
UACGUAGGGGUCAAGCGUUGUCCGGAAUCAUUGGGCGUAAAGAGCGUGUAGGCGGCUCGGUAAGUCCGCUGUGAAAGUCCAGGGCUCAACCCUGGAAUGCCGGUGGAAACUGUCGAGCUAGAGUCCGGAAGAGGCGAGUGGAAUUCCUGGUGUAGCGGUGAAAUGCGCAGAUAUCAGGAAGAACACCCGUGGCUAAGGCGGCUCUCUAGUACGGUACUGACGCUGAGACGCGAAAGCGUGGGGAGCGAACAGG